CAGUCGCCGCGGUAAUACGUAGGGUGCAAGCGUUGUCCGGAAUUAUUGGGCGUAAAGAGCUCGUAGGCGGUCUGUCGCGUCGAAUGUGAAAAUCCGAGGCUCAACCUCGGACCUGCAUUCGAUACGGGCAGACUAGAGUUCGGUAGGGGAGUCUGGAAUUCCUGGUGUAGCGGUGAAAUGCGCAGAUAUCAGGAGGAACACCAGUGGCGAAGGCGGGACUCUGGACCGAUACUGACGCUGAGGAGCGAAAGCGUGGGGAGCAAACAGGAUUAGAUACCCCAGUAGUCCCUGUCUCUUAUAC
rnacentral:rRNA from 1 species